rnacentral:rRNA from 1 species
CUGGCGGCGUGCCUCAUACAUGCAAGUCGUGCGCGAAACCUCUGUAGCAAUACGGAGGCGUAAAGCGGCGAACGGGUGAGUAACACGUGGGCAAUUUGCCUCGAAGCUGGGGAUAAGCCCUCGAAAGGGGGUCUAAUACCGAAUAACAUCCUGGGAUGGCAUCAUUCCGGGAUCAAAGGUUCGCAAGAAUCGCUUUGAGAUGAGCCCGCGGUCCAUUAGCUUGUUGGUGAGAUAAAAGCCCACCAAGGCUAUGAUGGAUAGCCGACCUGAGAGGGUGUUCGGCCACACUGGGACUGAGAUACGGCCCAGACUCCUACGGGAGGCAGCAGUAGGGAAUAUUGCGCAAUGGGCAAAUGCCUGACGCAGCGACGCCGCGUGGAGGAUGAAGUUUUUCGGAAUGUAAACUCCUGUCAGUGGGGAAGAAUAUCCCCGAUUAUAUCGGGGACUGACGGUACCCACAGAGGAAGCUCCGGCUAACUCCGUGCCAGCCGCCGCGGUAAUACA